GACGUAGGAUGCGAGCGUUGUCCGGAUUUAUUGGGCGUAAAGAGUUCGUAGGCGGUUCGUUAAGUCUGGUGUUAAAGAUCAGGGCUCAACCCUGGGAGUGCACUGGAUACUGGCGAGCUUGAGUGUGGUAGAGGCAAGCGGAAUUCCCAGUGUAGCGGUGAAAUGCGUAGAGAUUGGGUAGAACACCGGUGGCGCAAGCGGCUUGCUGGGCCAUAACUGACGAUGAGGAACGAAAGAUAGGGGAGCAAAUGGG
rnacentral:rRNA from 1 species